rnacentral:rRNA from 1 species
AGAAUCAACGCUGGCGGCGUGCCUAACACAUGCAAGUCGAACGCGAAAGGGGAGCAAUCCCUGAUUAGAGUGGCAAACGGGUGAGUAACACGUGGGUGACCUGCCUUCGAGUGGGGGAUAACCUUCCGAAAGGAGGGCUAAUACCGCAUGACAUACCGUGUUUGGAUACACGGAUAUCAAAGCCGGGGAUCGCAAGACCUGGCGCUUGGAGAGGGGCCCGCGUCCGAUUAGCUAGGUUGGUGAGGUAACGGCUCACCAAGGCUCCGAUCGGUA